UUCAGCUUUCAGUGUGGUUUCCAAGAUUUUUGGAGGGAGCGUUUAUUUUUAGUAAGUCACCUGUUGGGUCUGUUUAUCAUCUUUCAUCAUCAGGAUCAAUCCUUUGCAAUCAGUUUUUUAUUCCAAUGCAUUUCGACCAUUGUUGCUACUUGUUGUAUUUGUGAGCUGUAUUUAAUUAAUUUUACUAAGGUUGUCUUUUUAAUUAAAAUAAUUUAUUAGGCACCUCAAUACUAUAGCUCAUUGGAAAGAAAGCAAAAAGUGUUAAAUGAUGAGAUGCUAAAAAGUGACUUUAAGUGUUGGAAAUGUUUUAAAAGAAAUAAAUCACUUUUUGGAGUUCUAAGGUUUAUUUAAUUAAUAAAGUUAUUGUAUAAUGGAGUUUCCAGAACGUUCCCAAAAAAAGCUUAUAAAUAAUGGGUUUGAGAGCUCAUUUGGUAUGUAGAAGAUUUAUGUUAUUUCUCUUUGGUGAAACUCUUGGGGUUUUAGGAUUGAACUUGGUUCAAUUCAGCCUUCACGAGGACAAAAACCCUUCUGAAGAAGAUUGGCUUCGGUGGUGAAAGAUCUACCCUAGCUAAUGUUUUGGUGGAGUCACUCAGAUUUUGUAUCUGCACUUCAACAAUUGAGAUUCUUUGGGCAUAAAGAUUCAAAUCUUUUUGGGCGAGAGUCAAAAAUGUUGGGUCUUUUUGAAGAUUGAGAAAAGGGAUUUAAGCUUGAUGCUAUUUGGGUGAGUCAAUCGUGGUCAAAGGAGAUUAUACUGUUGGGCAAUUGGAUUAAAUGUUGGUAUGAUAUAUUGCUGGUCUAUUUCUUCUUUCACCUAGAUGUGAGUCAAUUGGAGCUAUUAGCUGGACGCAAGUAAUGGUUGAUUGUUGAGGUUUGGAAACCAGUGUGAGACUAUUGCAAGUCGAGGAAGGUUCACUUGCUUGGUGCAAGGUGUUAAAGGUUAUACACACUCUCAUUUGGUCGUGAAAAUUAUUGCUACUCUGGUUCGUGGAAAUCAUUGCUAUCCUGUUGCGUGGAAGUCAUUGCUGUCCUGAUGGUUGCCACCUAACCAUAGCCUUGUUGGGCGUGGAUGAGUGGUGAAGAGGCAUGAGUGAAUUUCAUGGUCUUUGGAGCUGUGUUUUAACUUGAGGAAGGACAUGGGUUUGCUGGGAGUCAUGGGACAGGUAAAUUCUUCUUUUUCCAAUCACCACUUCUUUCUGUUUCAGAUUUGGAUCUCAUUCAUGCUGAUUGUGGCACAUAUACCAAGGACGUUGGGAGAUAAGAGUUGUUCUAUUUUGCUGAUCAUGCAUGAAGUCCUUGAGCAAUAUUGUAGCUCAAAGCAAUUAUCUUACGCUAUUAUGUUUUUUUUCAGUGCUUCCAUACUAUUGGUAUUUUCUGUGAAAGUCAGCUCCUUGUACUGCUGUUUCUUUUUGCCGAUAAUAUUGAAGAAUACUACUAUUUCA